UACGUAGGUGGCAAGCGUUGUCCGGAAUUACUGGGUGUAAAGGGCGUGUAGGCGGGUAAUCAAGUCAGAUGUGAAAUACCGAGGCUCAACCUCGGGGCUGCAUUUGAAACUGAAUAUCUUGAGUGCAGGAGAGGAAAGCGGAAUUCCUAGUGUAGCGGUGAAAUGCGUAGAUAUUAGGAGGAACACCAGUGGCGAAGGCGGCUUUCUGGACUGUAACUGACGCUGAGGCGCGAAAGCGUGGGGAGCAAACAGGAUUAGAUACCCUGGUAGUCCACGCUGUAAACGAUGGAUACUAGGUGUAGGGGGUAUCGACUCCCCCUGUGCCGCAGUUAACACAAUAAGUAUCCCACCUGGGGAGUACGGCCGCAAGGUUGAA
rnacentral:rRNA from 1 species